AUAGGCUGUCUAGGUUGGUCAUAGCUUUUCUUCCAAGGAGCAAGUGUCUUGUAAUUGCAUGGCUACAGUCUCCAUCUGCAGUGGUUUUGGAGUCCCCCAAAAUAAAGUCUGUCACUGGUUCCAUUGUUUCCCUAUCUAUUUGCCAUGAAGUAAUGGGACCAGCGGCCAUGAUCUUAGUUUUAUGAGUGUUGAGUUUUAAGCCAACUUUUUCACUCUUCUCUUUCACUUUCCUCAAGNNNNNNNNNNNNNNNNNNNNNNNNNNNNNNNNNNNNNNNNNNNNNNNNNNNNNNNNNNNNNNAUUGAUAUUUCUCCUGACAAUCUUGAUUCCAGCUUGGGCUUCAUCCAGCCUGGCAUUUCUCAUGAUCUACUCUUCAUAUAAGUUAAAUAACAGGAUAACAAUAUGCAGUCAUGUUAUGUGUAUAAAGAAUCAUGGGAGCCCCACUCCUAAAGAUGGUUAGUCAGUGUGCCUAAGAGAAGGGCCAAGAAUUUGCAUGUCUAUUAAGCUUCCAAGUGAUGCUUAUACUCUUGGUCUAUGAGCCCUGCUGAUCUAGGGCUCUGUGGGAUCCUCAGGAUUUGAACUUCAGGAAAUCCCUUGAUUACUACUAGAUUAGAGGCAAGGAAAAUGCCCAGGAAUACUAAUGAUAACUUGGAAUAACACAGUGGCAAUAAAAAGCUGAAGAUGUUUUGGCAGAUGGAAUAACUAAGACUAGUGGAUCAUAGGUCCAAUUAGAAGCUUUGAAAACAAGCAUCCUAUCUCACAGCAGUGUAUAACAUUUUCAGCUUUUCAUUAUCCUUUAUUUUCACCCCUCACUCCUUUCAAUUCUCAUUUUUUAAAAUCUUGCUUAAAUGAUUAUCAUGUAGUCAUAACCACACCUUUGCAUAUACUCUCACUGCCUUGCCCCCAACCCCAAAUUUCAUUGUACUUUAUCUUUUAUGUUGCAAAUGUUACUUUAUUAAUCCUCAUACUAUAUUACAGCAUAAAUAUGUUGAAUGAUUGAAAAUUAAUGCUAAAUCAAAUAUAUGAGCUAUAGUGUUCAAAGUGUAUUUCCUAAUUAAUACCAAGGACUACAUGCAUGCAUAAUUACAUGUAAAUUAGAUACUUUGAAUUUUUAUAGCUGAUUUGCAAUAUUGUUUUAGCUUCAGAUACAAAUCAAAGUGAUUCAGUUACAUAUAUAUUAUAUAUGUAUGUAUACAUAUAUUUAUGUGCUUAGUCACUCAGUCAUGUCUGACUCUUUGUGACCCCAUGGACNNNNNNNNNNNNNNNNNNNNNNNNNNNNNNGAUUCUCCAGGCAAGAAUACUGGACUGGGUUGCCAUUUCCUUCUCCAACAUAUAUGUAUGCAUUAGGUUAUUUUCCAUUAUAGGUUAUUACAAAUUAUUGAAUAUAUCAUUGUACUUAUUUUUGAUAUUAAAAAAAAACUCUUGGUUAAACCCAGUCCCCUGACCAUAUGUUUUCUGCAUUUCAGAAAAGCACAAAGCAGUGAUGCUUAUGAUGAGGGUACUUUAACUUUACCAGUACUAACUUCCACUGGGUCCCCAGUGCAGUCUGGCAGGCAUACUGUUCUGGCCCAUUUUCUCUCUCACACUCCAUUUUCUCUGUUCCAUUGAGCAUGGAACUCAGCAAAAAGCCAUCUAUGAACCAGGAAGCAGGUCUUCACCAGGCACAGAAUCUGUCAGCACCUUUAUCCUGGACUUCUUAGCCUCCAGAAUUAAGAGAAAUAGAUCUCUUGCUAUUUGUACGCUACCCAGUCUGCCGUAUUUUGUUAUAGCAGUCCGAACAGACUAAGACAAAGAGCUAUCUGCAGAUUUUACCUCUGAAAACUUCUGGCCUGGUCCAGCUAUGCUGAGUCUCUAUUUUACAACUUACACAUCUCUAGGGCUCUUCAGGGUCCUUGGGGUUUGAACUUCAGGAAACCCCUUGUGAGCAGACUGCCUGAGUGAAGUGACCUCCUCACUGCUUUUUUGAAAGCCUCAGGUCAGUCCUGUAGACUUUUAAGCUCAGCUCAACUCCUGC
rnacentral:lncRNA from 1 species